AGUUGCCUGGAGAUGGAGCAAAGAAGGGAAGAGAUGUCUUGACAGCUUCCCUGCGUAUAUUCAUGAUAAUCAGCAUGUUCAGCUAGUUCACUGAGAAGAGUUUACUGCUUUCCACAAGCCACAGCAGGGCCAGCCUUUCCCCAACAUGCUCUGAAGUCUGAGAGUCUACU